AAUGGAUAAUUUUGUACGAGCUGUUGAAACGUAGGUUAAGAGUUUAGGAGGGGUCAUACAAAGCAAAGCUAAGAAUCACAGUGACAGGACCUCAUCCCUAAUCUUAAACCUACUUAAGAGGAAGUGAGAUCUGUGAAAAAUUCUGAAAAACAUACUAGCAGGAUAGAAGAGAAUGAUUAAAAGGAGACUGAGCUACAUGUAGGCAUGUGUGUGCAUGAACACGUGUGUGUAACUGUCUCUUCCUCUCCUUUAUAUAUAAGAAACAAGACGGAAGUAAGGUAUGAAACAUCCCAUUCCGUACUUCUAAGAUUUCUUGCAUUAACAUUGGAAAACUUUGAGCAGUUCCAUGAAUAUUUUUUCUUAAGGUUUUCUGUAUUUCUGCACAUUUGGAUUCUCUUGUGUCUGACACACGAUUUACCUCAUUCAGUAAGGAAUGAGGUCUUUACUGGCCCAUUGACUACAGGUAAGAUCUUAAGAUUUCUACCUCUCUAUCAAAAA